UACAUAGCUUAAUGAGGGGAACUCAGGGAACUGAAACAUCUAAGUACCUGAAGGAAGAGAAAGAAAUUCGAUUCCGUAAGUAGCGGCGAGCGAACGCGGAUUAGCCCAAACCAAUAAAGUUUUCUUUAUUGGGGUUGCGGACAUAUCAUAACGAAGAGGUAUCGUAAUUGAAGAGGUUUGGAAAGACCCACCACAGAAGGUAAUAGUCCUGUAUGUUAAACGAGAAGACUUUAGAUAUGAUCCAGAGUACCACGGGACACGUGAAACCCUGUGGGAAGCAGGAGGGACCACCCUCCAAGGCUAAAUACUACCUAGUGACCGAUAGCGUAUAGUACCGUGAGGGAAAGGUGAAAAGAACC
rnacentral:rRNA from 1 species